rnacentral:lncRNA from 10 species
AUUCUACCUAAGUAUAUACAAUGAAAAAGUAUAGGAAUUUAGAUGACAUUGAGUUUUAAAUUUUAAAUUGAGUUUUGAAGUACAUAUAGAAAUUUAUUCAGCAAAGGGAUGAGAGAGGGACAAUGGCAGUACAAGGGCACAGUUUACCAGGAACUACUUAGCCUGGCUGGAAUGUAUAAUGUGAAGUGGAGAAAGCUUUGGGGUAUUGAGGCUGAGGGCUGCGAAUCGCUUGAACCCUGGAGGCAGAGGUUGCAUGAGCCGGGAUUGCGCCACUGCAUUCCAGCCUGGCAACAGAGUAAGACUCUGUCUCAAAAAAAAAAAAAAAAAAAAAAAAAAAGGAUACUUAAUGAAUUCAAAUCCCAUAAUUGAAGACUUUCUGUGAUGAUUUUUUUUUAAGAAAUCUACUCUUCAGACAGGCCUAUUCUAUCUAUAAGUUGCUGCUCUUCUUCGCAGCUUCUCCUUUGCCUCUGUUCCUGAAACCACACACAGGAUUUCUUCUGUAGAUUCUCAUUGGUUGCAAGGGCUUUGGUGCUAAGGGAGCCAUAUGUGU